CUACGGAGGGUGCAAGCGUUAUUCGGAAUCACUGGGCGUAAAGGACGCGUAGGCGGGUUGGCAAGUCAGAUGUGAAAUCCUACAGCUUAACUGUAGAACUGCAUUUGAAACUGCUAACCUAGAGUAUGGGAGGGGGAGAUGGAAUUAGUGGUGUAGGGGUAAAAUCCGUAGAUAUUACUAGGAAUACCGAAAGCGAAGGCGAUCUCCUGGAACAUAACUGACGCUAAGGCGUGAAAGCGUGGGGAGCAAACAGGAUUAGAUACCCUAGUAGUCC
rnacentral:rRNA from 1 species